rnacentral:rRNA from 1 species
GACGUGUGCUCUUCCGAUCUGAACGCUGGCGGCGUGCUUAACACAUGCAAGUCGAACGAAGCAUUUGCAACAGAUUUCUUCGGGAUGAAGUUGCUUAUGACUGAGUGGCGGACGGGUGAGUAACGCGUGGGUAACCUGCCUUGUACUGGGGGAUAGCAGCUGGAAACGGCUGGUAAUACCGCAUAAGCGCACAAUGUUGCAUGACAUGGUGUGAAAAACUCCGGUGGUAUAAGAUGGACCCGCGUCUGAUUAGCUAGUUGGUGAGAUAACAGCCCACCAAGGCGACGAUCAGUAGCCGACCUGAGAGGGUGACCGGCCACAUUGGGACUGAGACACGGCCCAGACUCCUACGGGAGGCAGCAGUGGGGAAUAUUGCACAAUGGAGGAAACUCUGAUGCAGCGACGCCGCGUGAGUGAAGAAGUAUUUCGGUAUGUAAAGCUCUAUCAGCAGGGAAGAUAAUGACGGUACCUGACUAAGAAGCUCCGGCUAAAUACGUGCCAGCAGCCGCGGUAAUACGUAUGGAGCAAGCGUUAUCCGGAUUUACUGGGUGUAAAGGGAGUGUAGGUGGCCAGGCAAGUCAGAAGUGAAAGCCCGGGGCUCAACCCCGGGACUGCUUUUGAAACUGCAGGGCUAGAGUGCAGGAGGGGCAAGUGGAAUUCCUAGUGUAGCGGUGAAAUGCGUAGAUAUUAGGAGGAACACCAGUGGCGAAGGCGGCUUGCUGGACUGUAACUGACACUGAGGCUCGAAAGCGUGGGGAGCAAACAGGAUUAGAUACCCUGGUAGUCCACGC